GACGAACGCUGGCGGCGUGCUUAACACAUGCCAGUCGAACGGAAAGGCCCUGCUUUUGUGGGGUGCUCGAGUGGCGAACGGGUGAGUAACACGUGAGUAACCUGCCCUUGACUUUGGGAUAACUUCAGGAAACUGGGGCUAAUACCGGUUAGGAGCUCCUGCUGCAUGGUGGGGGUUGGAAAGUUUCGGCGGUUGGGGAUGGACUCGCGGCUUAUCAGCUUGUUGGUGGGGUAGUGGCUUACCAAGGCUUUGACGGGUAGCCGGCCUGAGAGGGUGACCGGCCACAUUGGGACUGAGAUACGGCCCAGACUCCUACGGGAGGCAGCAGUGGGGAAUAUUGCACAAUGGGCGGAAGCCUGAUGCAGCAACGCCGCGUGCGGGAUGACGGCCUUCGGGUUGUAAACCGCUUUCGCCUGUGACGAAGCGUGAGUGACGGUAAUGGGUAAAGAAGCACCGGCUAACUACGUG
rnacentral:rRNA from 1 species